rnacentral:rRNA from 1 species
GACGAACGCUGGCGGCGUGCCUAAUACAUGCAAGUCGAGCGAAGUUUUUCUGGUGCUUGCACUAGAAAAACUUAGCGGCGAACGGGUGAGUAACACGUAAAGAACCUGCCUCAUAGACGGGGACAACUAUUGGAAACGAUAGCUAAUACCGGAUAACAGCAUAAAUCGCAUGAUAUAUGUUUAAAAGUUGGUUUCGGCUAACACUAUGAGAUGGCUUUGCGGUGCAUUAGCUAGUUGGUGGGGUAAAGGCCUACCAAGGCGACGAUGCAUAGCCGACCUGAGAGGGUGAUCGGCCACACUGGGACUGAGACACGGCCCAGGCUCCUACGGGAGGCAGCAGUAGGGAAUCUUCCGCAAUGGGCGAAAGCCUGACGGAGCAACGCCGCGUGAGUGAAGAAGGAUUUCGGUUCGUAAAGCUCUGUUGUUAGGGAAGAAUGAUUGUAUAGUAACUAUAUACAGUAGAGACGGUACCUAACCAGAAAGCCACGGCUAACUACGUGCCAGCAGCCGCGGUAAUACGUAGGUGGCAAGCGUUGUCCGGAAUUAUUGGGCGUAAAGCGCGCGCAGGUGGUUUAAUAAGUCUGAUGUGAAAGCCCACGGCUCAACCGUGGAGGGUCAUUGGAAACUGUUAAACUUGAGUGCAGGAGAGAAAAGUGGAAUUCCUAGUGUAGCGGUGAAAUGCGUAGAGAUUAGGAGGAACACCAGUGGCGAAGGCGGCUUUUUGGCCUGUAACUGACACUGAGGCGCGAAAGCGUGGGGAGCAAACAGG